AAGAUUAACACUCUCAACAACAUAUGCAUUUAUUAAAAGCUAGUUGAAACUGAGUACAUAUAAAGUUGGUACGGGAAACCCCAAACCAGGCCUUACUAACAAAAAAACGAGCAUGAACACUAGCAAGCUACUAGUAGUGGUAGUACUAGGCCUGGCCCAAACCCACUACCACCAAAGUGAUUGUCCAGGGCCCAAAACUAAAAGGGGCAUGAAAAAAAAAUUCCAAAUAAACUAGGUAUAAAAAAAUAAAAAAAAUGUCCAGAGCCCAAAUAGGGGCCUGGAGGGCAAGAGCCCAAGUUUGACAAAAGAUGAAAAAAUGGCCUAGUUGUAGAGCAUUACCAAAAUAAUAAUAAUAAUAAUAAUAAAUAAAUAAAUAAAUAAACAUAAGAGGGACCACUCAGUCCCUAAUUAACCCCAACUUCCAAAUACAUCCACCCUUUUCCUGAUUCUCCACCCCACUUCCUCACUAUCCUGGCGUCCUUGACUCCCUUUUCUUUUCUCCCAAUUCCAUUGGCUGCAAGUGAGUGAUUUAUUGUUUCCUGAGUUGGCAACUGCAAGCUGUUGUGCAGCCAGACAAGUCCCUCCUUCUCAGCUCAGCGCCAUUCACCAUUGGCUGCAAGUGCAUUCACCAACCCCUUUGAGUUUUAAGUAAUUAAUUGGAUAAAGGAGGCUUGUGGGGUGGCUUGUAGAGGUUUUGUGGUGGAUUCUUCUCUAGUGGCUGCUUGUACAAGUCUUCUAAAGGCUCAUGAUCAAUCUAAAUCGGCGGUUGGUUUCAGUCCCUUGCAAGGUUUGCCAUCCAAUUCAACUGACUUCUCCACUUCCAAAGUAGGAGGCUUAUGAAUUGGUGGCUUGUGUGGUGGUUUAUGAGGUGGCUUAUGGUGAUCAACAAAAGAAUAAGUGCUGAGAAGUAUCACACCCAGGAGAAUACGAGAAGCCAUUUUGGUGACAUCGUUACGGGAACUAGCGAGAUGUGCGAACUGUGUGACAUGAGUGGUGCAAAACUAGUGCAAGUCCGGUGGCCUUUUAUUAGGCCAUCUCCAACUGAAGGAGGGCCAGAGGGCUCGUUUCCCUCCAAAAAAUUAAUAUUUUAAUGAACAGUACAGGGCCAUAUUUUUUA